rnacentral:lncRNA from 1 species
AUGAGAACCCUUCAGUCUGUGCCCACCUGUCUCAUCAGCCCCCCUGCGCCCAGCCUCCCAGAUUCAUCUACAGCCGCCUCUGUCGGUGCCGCUCCAAGUGCCGGUGUGCGAGGACGCGCGUCGGCACCAGAACGGAAGUUCUGUCCAUCACAGCGCACACUGAGGUGGGCAAGCAGAAGAGGAGUGAUUCCAUCCGCCUCCCAGACACCACCAGUCAUUUCCUCUGGGAAAGGAGGAAAGGGAGCAAGGUGGGCUAAGAGACUAGAAGUGGACACAAGCCCGCAACCUGGAUUCCAUGCCUUUAAAGGGUCUGUGAAGUCCCUGAGAUUGAAUGGUGUGUGUGUGCGUGUGUGUGUGUGUGCUAUUUCUCUUUAAAAUUUUUUUUUAAUGUUUAUUUAUUUUAGAGAGAUUGAGACAGAGUGUGAGCAGGAGAGGGCCAGAGAGAGGGAGACACAGAAUUGGAAGCAGGCUCCAGGCUCCGAGCCGUCAGCACAGAGCCCAAUGCGGGGCUCGAACCCACGAACCGCGAGAUCAUGACCCGAGCCGCAGUCGGACACUUAACCGACUGAGCCACCCAGGCGCCCCAUAUGUGGUAUUUUUCUAGAAAGCCUGCAGUAGAUGUUGUAGGUCCUUGACCAGAUAGAUCCCUGUGACCCGCCCCCAAGGGCUGCCAUGAGUGUUCCUAUCUCCCCACUCCUUCGCUGAAUCCUCCUUGCCCUAAAGGGAGUUCCUGGCCUGAGAGACGACACCUGCCCCCCACCAGGGGAAAUUGACGACUUGGAGGUACAGAGGCCACCUCUUGCCUCCAGAUGGGAACAGCUCUAGUGCAGUUCACGCUCCAGGGCAUCUCGGAGGUCAGGAGGAAGCUAUUCUCCAGCUGAGGCCACCUCUUGCUGAGCUUUUGUCCCCUGCCAAGCCUGCUUUCCUCACGCCCCUUCCCUGGGGCGCUCCCUCCAUACAUUACUUGUACAAGAGCCCUUGUCUCAGCCUCGGCUUCCAGCAACUUGACAUGAUUCAGAGUUCAUGAGCUCUCAUCAGAUCCUGAAGGUGGUUUAUGAUCCUGCAGUGGGUCGAAUGGUGGCCCCGUGACAUCUGUGUCACCUUAUUUGGGAAAAGGGUCUUUGCAGAUGUAAUUAAGGAUCUUGAGACGCGAUCAUCCUGGAUUAGCCAGGUGGACCCUAAAUCCAAUGACAAGUGUCCUUAAAGAGACAGGCAGAGGAGAGAGACACACAGGCGGAGGCUACACACAGAUGGAGGG